rnacentral:rRNA from 1 species
UACGUAGGGUGCAAGCGUUAAUCGGAAUUACUGGGCGUAAAGCGUGCGCAGGCGGUUGUGUAAGACAGAUGUGAAAUCCCCGGGCUCAACCUGGGAACUGCAUUUGUGACUGCACAGCUGGAGUGCGGCAGAGGGGGAUGGAAUUCCGCGUGUAGCAGUGAAAUGCGUAGAUAUGCGGAGGAACACCGAUGGCGAAGGCAAUCCCCUGGGCCUGCACUGACGCUGAGGAGCGAAAGCUAGGGGAGCAAACGGG